rnacentral:rRNA from 1 species
CCUACGGGAGGCAGCAGUAGGGAAUCUUCCACAAUGGGCGAAAGCCUGAUGGAGCAACGCCGCGUGAGUGAGGAAGGCUUUCGGGUCGUAAAGCUCUGUUGCCAGGGAAGAAUAAGAGCCAGUUAACUGCUGGUUCGAUGACGGUACCUGAGAAGAAAGCCCCGGCUAACUACGUGCCAGCAGCCGCGGUAAUACGUAGGGGGCAAGCGUUGUCCGGAAUUAUUGGGCGUAAAGCGCGCGCAGGCGGCUCUUUAAGUCUGGUGUCUAAGUGCGGGGCUCAACCCCGUGAUGCACUGGAAACUGGGGAGCUUGAGUGCAGAGGAGGAGAGCGGAAUUCCACGUGUAGCGGUGAAAUGCGUAGAGAUGUGGAGGAACACCAGUGGCGAAGGCGGCUCUCUGGACUGUAACUGACGCUGAGGCGCGAAAGCGUGGGGAGCAAACAGGAUUAGAUACCCUGGUAGUCCACGCUGUAAACGAUGAGUGCUAGGUGUUGGGGGUAUCAUGCCCUCGGUGCCGAAGUUAACACAUUAAGCACUCCGCCUGGGGAGUACGGUCGCAAGACUGAAACUCAAAGGAAUUGACGG